rnacentral:misc_RNA from 1 species
GCUAGAUCUUGUGUCUAUUCAACAUAAAAAUCUAUUACAUUAAGCCACAUUGGUGCACACUCCCUAGUGAGAGAAACUAGUCCUUUGCUACAGAGCCACAAAUUCUAAAGUUGGUGACCUUAUUGAUAAUUUUAAAAGAAGAGGCCACAAUUGAAAAGGCACAUAAAGUUUUUGUUAUUGUUUCUCUUAUUUUAUCUUCACAAAAAUUGCUAAUAAUUAUACUGUUGGGAGAUUUGUACUUGGAAGGAUCUUACUUUUUUCCAAGCUUUAACCACCAUAUAACUUUUCGAUCUUUUUUUCUUUUGUGCAUAUGUGAACUGCUGAUAAUGCCUAAUAGUAAAAUACAAAUUACAUUGAGAAUACGAAAAAUACAAAAUAAAGACGGUGACCUUGUCUUUAUAAGAAAGGAGGCAGGUCAAGAUGAUACGUGAAUGAACUUAAAGCCCAUGGCCAUGCACAUUGUGUUGCUUUAAACUAUUUUUAAUUAUUUGUUAUUUGAAUUAAGAGCUUAGAUAUAUUUUUAUGAAAAAUAAGAAACCCGUUGUCAGUUUGGUUUCUCAGUUUAUAAAUGUAAAAUCAUGAACACUCUGGUUAAGUAUUUUUACAACCCAAUACCAACCAACAAAUUGUUAAACCACUAAAAUUAGGUUUGUUUGGUGAACAGCCUUGAUGAGGCCGUAGAGCAAUUAAAUGACCAAACAUAUAGUAAUAUUAUUCUGUUUAUAUAUAAAAUAACCUUUAAUUGUUAUAAAGGGUUGGCAAGGUGAGAUAGAGCAUUGUAGUUAUUCACAUUGGUGCAAGGAUCUAUCCCCGUCAGUUGUCACACUGUUAAUUUUAGCUCUUGUUAUUGAUAAUUCCCUCUUUCUAAUUUAUUUGUGCCUCUUAGUACUGUUUAAUUACAUAUAACACUUGAUUCUAUUUUUUUACAAGCAUGACUUAGUGAUUAUUCCCUUUUUAACUUGUUUGGCAGCACAGAUAAAUAAUGAACUUUGUGAUAGAUUUUCCGUGACUCAUUAUCCCAUGCUAUUUUGGGG